CCUGCGGAAGGCGAUUCAGUGAAAUACUCAUGUUCACAUGGCUUUGUGAUGAUCGGAACACCCUUGCUAACCUGCACAUGUCAAGGAGUCUGGGAUAAUCUACCACCCAGGUGUAAAGGUGUGUUCACCACAACAACUACCCCAGGUUACACCCAGCCAAUUGCAGAGCUGACAACAAUAGAUACACCACAAGACCCAUGCUCUUCAAACC